CCGUGCGCCGCAACCCCCACCGAUAUCCCUACCGAUCUAGGGUUAGCGCACAAGCGACGGGAAGCUCCACCACAGCCACUGCCUCCUCGCCGACGACGCCCACUCGCCAACAUGGCCGGCACGGCGGCCUCCUGGAGCCAAGGAGAAGACUAAAAGUUUUCCAUGCCUUCAUUCGUGAAAGCGAAUGGCCGGGUACUUGUGACCCGAAAGAUGACCAAGGUCAUAACGUAAGGGAGUAUUGUUGAGAAUCUUGGUUGACGAAUGUCUUUCAUAUACUCUCUAUGAAGAAGAUUUUUCAGUCAACACAUUUUGAGUUGAAACAAGCAACAUGUGUGUUUAAUUUGACCAAUGUCGGAUCAAUCAUGUGUGUCAAAGAGCAUUCAGAUUUAUUCCUAAAUUUGAUGAUUGAAUAUGCAGUCAAAAGAGCCAAUUCUGGCAUUUA